rnacentral:rRNA from 1 species
GAUGAACGCUGGCGGCGUGCCUAAUACAUGCAAGUCGAGCGAACGGACGAGAAGCUUGCUUCUCUGAUGUUAGCGGCGGACGGGUGAGUAACACGUGGAUAACCUACCUAUAAGACUGGGAUAACUUCGGGAAACCGGAGCUAAUACCGGAUAAUAUUUUGAACCGCAUGGUUCAAAAGUGAAAGACGGUCUUGCUGUCACUUAUAGAUGGAUCCGCGCUGCAUUAGCUAGUUGGUAAGGUAACGGCUUACCAAGGCAACGAUGCAUAGCCGACCUGAGAGGGUGAUCGGCCACACUGGAACUGAGACACGGUCCAGACACCUACGGGAGGAAGCAGUAGGGAAUCUUACGCAAUGGGCGAAAGCCUGACGGAGCAACGCCGCGUGAGUGAUGAAGGUCUUCGGAUCGUAAAACUCUGUUAUUAGGGAAGAACAUAUGUGUAAGUAACUGUGCACAUCUUGACGGUACCUAAUCAGAAAGCCACGGCUAACUACGUG